rnacentral:sRNA from 1 species
UGGCGCAGCAGGGGGAAGGUGAGAACCUUCGACCAAGGUUCGGGUCGAGCAUAGCGAGACAACGAUGCGCAGCAUCGGCCCGAGAUCCUGGCAUCAUUCUACAAUCUACAG